GUUAACUGGGCAGUCAGAGGGAGGCAGGCCCAUUACAGAGCUGGGAAUGCUGGGAGCCCUGCCAGGGAUGUGUGGACACAGCUCAGAGAAAUGUGAAUCAGCCCUCUGGAGCCAGCAGAAACCCACCUCCACCUCUGGUUACUUCACUCCUUUGGUUCUUGGAUUCCUGAAGAAAAAAGACUGCAGAAAUAAUUCUGUUAAAAUCUCCUGUGCACUUCCCAUAUUACUUCCAGCAGCCUGGGCGGGCUGGCCUCAAAAUCCCAAAGCCAGGAGGAUGGGAUGAUGGUGUUGCACAUGACAACAUGCCAGAGCAGGGCCACAAAUGAUCUAUGGCCAGUGCAAAUGCUUCUUGUGUGAGCCCAUGCAAGCCAUUUGCCUGGAUGCAAAGCACCUGAUGCUUCAGUUUGGGAUGGUUUAAUACCUCCAGUAAUUAUCUGAAGGAGGCCUGAACACUCUCAUGAUUAAAUAUCAGGUUAGAACUGGACCUGAGAUGAAAUCUGUGAGAAUGCAGUCAUGUUUGGGAAGGCUUGCAGGAGUCAUCCAGGGCUGUGACUGCGGUAUCAGAGUUUCUUGGAGGGAAAAUUGUGAUGGUUUCUCUAGUGAAAACAAGAAUGGCAGUUUUGGUAGGAUGUUCCAUAUUAUUCCCCAGGCUGGAGUUUUCCCAGGACAUAGGAAUUCAAGUGCCUGAAUGCAAUGCUUCACUGGUGGAGUUGGUAGCUGGCUGAGCCUGAAGCUUGCUCCAAAACUUCACCCUGGAUUCAGCCACAUGUGUGACCCUGUUUCCUCAUGCUCCUCUGUCCAUCAGUAUCUGCCUGUUGUCACUCAUCUGUCACUUACACUGGAAAUGCCCUGGGGCUGGCAUCCCCUCUUUGUUCAGCCUCUUGCACAACCAGCCCUGUGGUAACACGGCCAAACAACAAUUGCUAAGGGUGAAAGAUCGCCAGGUUACAGAUGGCAAAACCAGUCCUCAGGACUGGCUGUGUAAUAGAAUAACAACAACAAAUUCAUAAUAAUGAUGGCAGGAGUAAUGAAUGGUUAUAUUCAAAUGUUAGCUAGCUGGAGCUCGCCACUUGUCUCUUUCUGCAGUUACAAUAAAAUUUAUUCUCCUUGCUGAACA
rnacentral:lncRNA from 1 species